GGAGGAAUAUUGGGCAAUGGGCGAAAGCCUGACCCAGCAACGCCGCGUGGAGGAUGAAAGCCUUCGGGUUGUAAACUCCUUUUGAGGGAGACGAGAAAGGACGGUAUCCCUCGAAUAAGUCACGGCUAACUACGUGCCAGCAGCCGCGGUAAAACGUAGGUGACGAGCGUUAUCCGGAUUUACUGGGCGUAAAGAGCUUGUAGGUGGCUCUGUAAGUUGGGUGUGAAAGCCCCGGGGCUUAACUCGGGGAGGUUGCUCAAUACUGCAGGGCUUGAGGAUGUCAGAGGGAAGUGGAAUUCCUGGUGUAGCAGUGAAAUGCGUAGAUAUCAGGAGGAACACCCGUGGCGAAGGCGGCUUCCUGGGGCACUCCUGACACUGAGAAGCGAAAGCUAGGGGAGCG
rnacentral:rRNA from 1 species